rnacentral:rRNA from 1 species
AGAGUUUGAUCCUGGCUCAGGACGAACGCUGGCGGCGUGCUUAACACAUGCAAGUCGAGCGAUGAAACUACUUCGGUAGUGAAUUAGCGGCGAACGGGUGAGGAACACGUGAGGAAUCUGCCUUCUACACUGGGAUAACUCCGGGAAACCGGGGCUAAUACCGGAUAUGAAACUUGGUGGCAUCACCGAGUUUGGAAAGUUUUUCGGUAGAAGAUGACCUCGCGGCCUAUCAGCUUGUUGGUGAGGUAAUGGCUCACCAAGGCGACGACGGGUAGCCGGCCUGAGAGGGCGACCGGCCACACUGGGACUGAGACACGGCCCAGACUCCUACGGGAGGCAGCAGUGGGGAAUAUUGGGCAAUGGAGGAAACUCUGACCCAGCAACGCCGCGUGCGGGAUGAAGGCCUUCGGGUUGUAAACCGCUUUCAGUAGGGAAGAAGCGAAAGUGACGGUACCUACAGAAGAAGCACCGGCUAACUAUGUGCCAGCAGCCGCGGUAAUACAUAGGGUGCAAGCGUUGUCCGGAAUUAUUGGGCGUAAAGAGCUCGUAGGUGGUUCGUUACGUCGGAUGUGAAAAUCUGGGGCUCAACCCCAGACCUGCAUCCGAUACGGUCGAGCUAGAGUUUGGUAGGGGAGACUGGAAUUCCUGGUGUAGCGGUGGAAUGCGCAGAUAUCAGGAGGAACACCAAUGGCGAAAGCAGGUCUCUGGGCCAAUACUGACACUGAGGAGCGAAAGCGUGGGGAGCGAACAGGAUUAGAUACCCUGGUAGUCCACGCCGUAAACGGUGGGCGCUAGUUGUGGGAACCUUCCACGGUUUCUGCGACGCAGCUAACGCAUUAAGCGCCCCGCCUGGGGAGUACGAUCGCAGAUUAAAACUCAAGGAAUUGACGGGGCCCCGCACAGCAGCGGAGCAUGCGGCU